UACGAAGGGGGCUAGCGUUGCUCGGAAUUACUGGGCGUAAAGCGCACGUAGGCGGCUCUUUAAGUCGGGGGUGAAAUCCUGGAGCUCAACUCCAGAACUGCCUUCGAUACUGUAGAGCUUGAGUUCGGGAGAGGUGAGUGGAACUGCGAGUGUAGAGGUGAAAUUCGUAGAUAUUCGGAAGAACACCAGUGGCGAAGGCGACUUACUGGACACAUAUUGACGCUGAGGUGCGAAAGCGUGGGGAGCAAACAGG
rnacentral:rRNA from 1 species